rnacentral:rRNA from 1 species
UACGUAGGGUGCAAGCGUUGUCCGGAUUUAUUGGGCGUAAAGAGCUCGUAGGCGGUUUGUCACGUCGACUGUGAAAGCCCGGGGCUCAACUCCGGGUCUGCAGUCGAUACGGGCAGACUAGAGUUCGGUAGGGGAGACUGGAAUUCCUGGUGUAGCGGUGAAAUGCGCAGAUAUCAGGAGGAACACCGGUGGCGAAGGCGGGUCUCUGGGCCGAUACUGACGCUGAGGAGCGAAAGCGUGGGGAGCAAACAGG